rfam:Brassica napus, WGS project CCCW01000000 data, contig: 52
GAAUGGAAUGAUGAAUGUUGAACUUUAUUGUUCCCUAUUGGUUUGAUCGCCGGAAUGAUGGCAUCUUACGUAUUAGCUCUAUCUGAUCCCAUUC